rnacentral:rRNA from 1 species
UGCCAGACUCCUACGGGAGGCAGCAGUGAGGAAUAUUGGUCAAUGGGCUUACGCCUGAACCAGCCAAGUCGCGUGAGGGAAGACUGCCCUAUGGGUUGUAAACCUCUUUUGUCAGGGAGCAAUUGGCGCUACGUGUAGCGUUAUCGAGAGUACCUGAAGAAAAAGCAUCGGCUAACUCCGUGCCAGCAGCCGCGGUAAUACGGAGGAUGCGAGCGUUAUCCGGAUUUAUUGGGUUUAAAGGGUGCGUAGGCGGGACCUUAAGUCAGCGGUAAAAUUGCGGUGCUCAACGCCGUAGAGCCGUUGAAACUGGGGUUCUUGAGUGAGCGAGAAGUAUGCGGAAUGCGUGGUGUAGCGGUGAAAUGCAUAGAUAUCACGCAGAGCUCCGAUUGCGAAGGCAGCAUACCGGCGCCCGACUGACGCUGAAGCACGAAAGCGUGGGUAUCGAACAGGAUUAGAUACCCUUGUAUAA